GUAGGGUGGCAAGCGUUGUCCGGAAUUAUUGGGCGUUAAAAACGCGCGCAGGGCGGUCCUUUAAGUCUGAUGUGAAAGCCCACGGCUCAACCGUGGAGGGUCAUUGGAAACUGGGGGACUUGAGUACAGAAGAGGAAAGCGGAAUUCCAAGUGUAGCGGUGAAAUGCGUAGAGAUUUGGAGGAACACCAGUGGCGAAGGCGGCUUUCUGGUCUGUAACUGACGCUGAGGCGCGAAAGCGUGGGGAGCAAACAGGAUUAGAUACCCUGGUAGUCCACGCCGUAAACGAUGAGUGCUAAGUGUUAGGGGGUUUCCGCCCCUUAGUGCUGCAGCUAACGCAUUAAGCACUCCGCCUGGGGAGUACGGCCGCAAGGCUG
rnacentral:rRNA from 1 species